AUGUCAUCUUCCUGUGCUUGGCUUUCUUGGGGGUUCUCAGCGGCAUGCCUGGGCUUCUACCUUGGGCUUGAUUUCACCAAAAAAAGCUUUGGAAACACCCUCUACACACGAUCGACCCCCAUGGGAAGCCAGUUUCAGGUGUCACUACCUCUGCUGCACACUGGGCUUGCCUCUUUGUGGUUGUUCCCUCCAUGUCCAGACAGUAGUGGUGAGAUGCAGGAGUCCCUGGGCUUGGAGAUAAAGGCAGGGCCCCUUGGUCGGUGGCCCAGGUCGAAAAGUGGCAGUCAGCUCAUUGGGCCGGGUAACGUUCUGGUAACACCCAAAGUGCCCGCUUCCUGGCCUGAAGCGCUCUCCUCCUCCACCCGACCGGAACCGAAGAGUGGCUGCAACGAGGUACUGAGGUCAGGACUGUCAGGGGCCUAUGCUGCUUGUGGCACGCAACCUCCUUCCAGGCGCCGCCCCUGCCACCGUCUCCACCUUGUACCUGUGCGGCAGCAGCUGGACAGCGCCAACAUCGCGGCUCCCCAGCUGGGCAGACGAAAGCGCAUGCGCAGGCGGCCUGUCACAAGCGCCAGCGCUGAGCCCGGGCUCGCGUCACAGGAACAGCCACCGUUGCCUGGGGAACGAUCACAGUGGCUUCCCAAAGCAGCGGUCCUCUGUGGCAGUGCCUCAGCAUCGGGCAACGGACUCUUUCUCCGCGUGAUCAUCGCUGAGUCCUGCGAUUUUAGGAAUCCGGCAGGCCGAGCCAGGCAGAAGAAAGAUCUGUCGGGGCUUCAGGGAUGUCCACGGCGCUCCCCAAGAAUCACCGAGAUGCUGCAGACCUGCCCAAACAGUGUGAGGGUGCCUCUCGUUGAAAGCCCUCGUGGCUGGGAUUUCCAGGGGUACAUGUGCAGGUUUAUUAUACAGAAAAGAAAACCAAUACUUUCUAAAAAAUCACUUAUUUUGAAAUAUGGUUGUAAAUAUGCCAAGAAAUGACUAACUAGGUUUAUGGUGUAAUCCUUGGGAAAAGGACCAGAGGAGGAGUAAAGAGAGAACUCUGUUUUGCACAAGUGACCUUUUAGAAAUGCUUGAUUUUUUUUUUUAUUCUAAUUCUGAGAAACAAAUUGCAUUUGACUUUUAACAAUUCUGGAUCACUUUGAUAAAAAAAGUUAUAUUAUUUAAUAAAGAAGAAAUUAAUCAUAAAUAAAUAGACUUUAGUUAUUCACUGGUGAAUU
ensembl:lncRNA